rnacentral:rRNA from 1 species
CACGUAGGCACCAAGCGUUGUCCGGAUUUAUUGGGCGUAAAGAGCUCGUAGGUGGCUUGUCACGUCGGGUGUGAAAGCUUGGGGCUUAACUCCAGGUCUGCAUUCGAUACGGGCUGGCUAGAGGUAGGUAGGGGAGAACGGAAUUCCUGGUGUAGCGGUGAAAUGCGCAGAUAUCAGGAGGAACACCGGUGGCGAAGGCGGUUCUCUGGGCCUUACCUGACGCUGAGGAGCGAAAGCGUGGGGAGCGAACAGG